rnacentral:rRNA from 1 species
UUCCAGACUCCUACGGGAGGCAGCAGUGGGGAAUAUUGCACAAUGGGGGGAACCCUGAUGCAGCGACGCCGCGUGGGUGAAGGAGCACCUCGGUGCGUAAAGCCCUAUCGGCAGGGAAGAAACAGACGGUACCUGACUAAGAAGCCCCGGCUAACUACGUGCCAGCAGCCGCGGUAAUACGUAGGUGGCAAGCGUUGUCCGGAUUUACUGGGUGUAAAGGGCGUGCAGCCGGGAGUGCAAGUCAGAUGUGAAAUCCCGCGGCUCAACCGCGGAACUGCAUUUGAAACUGUGCUUCUUGAGUGCUGGAGAGGCAGACGGAAUUCCUAGUGUAGCGGUGAAAUGCGUAGAUAUUAGGAGGAACACCAGUGGCGAAGGCGGUCUGCUGGACAGUAACUGACGGUGAGGCGCGAAAGCGUGGGGAGCAAACAGGAUUAGAUACCCGUGUAU